AGGGUUCGAUUCUGGCUCAGGAUGAACGCUGGCUGUAUGCCUAACACAUGCAAGUCGUACGAGAGUUUUUAACUCUAGUGGCGGACGGGUGAGUAACACGUGAGAAUUUGCCUUUAGGAGGGGGAUAACAAUUGGAAACGACUGCUAAUACCCCAUAUGCUUCCGAGUGAAAUGGAUUUAUAUUUAUCCGCCUAAAGAGAGGCUCGCGGCUGAUUAGCUUGUUGGUAAGGUAAGAGCUUACCAAGGCGACGAUCAGUAUCUGGUUUGAGAGGACGACCAGACACACUGGAACUGAGACACGGUCCAGACUCCUACGGGAGGCAGCAGUGGGGAAUUUUCCGCAAUGGGCGAAAGCCUGACGGAGCAAUACAGCGUGAGGGAAGACUGCCUAUGGGUUGUAAACCUCUUUUUUCAGGGAGGAAUAAAAUGACGUGUACCUGAAGAAUAAGCAUCGGCUAACUCCGUGCCAGCAGCCGCGGUAAGACGGAGGAUGCAAGUGUUAUCCGGAAUCACUGGGCGUAAAGCGUCUGUAGGUGGUUUAAUAAGUCAACUGUUAAAUCUUGAGGCUCAACCUCAAAAUCGCAGUCGAAACUAUUAGACUAGAGUAUAGUAGAGGUAAAGGGAAUUUCCAGUGGAGCGGUGAAAUGCGUAGAUAUUGGAAAGAACACCGAUGGCGAAAGCACUUUACUGGGCUAUUACUAACACUCAGAGACGAAAGCUAGGGUAGCAAAUGGGAUUAGAUACCCCAGUAGUCCUAGCCGUAAACUAUGGAUACUAGAUGUUGAACAGAUCGACCUGUGCAGUAUCAAAGCUAACGCGUUAAGUAUCCCGCCUGGGAAGUAUGCUCGCAAGAGUGAAACUCAAAUGAAUUGACGGAAUCA
rnacentral:rRNA from 1 species